rnacentral:rRNA from 1 species
ACGCUCGACACCUACUGGAGGCAGCAGUGGGGAAUAUUGCACAAUGGGGGAAACCCUGAUGCAGCGAUGCCGCGUGAAGGAAGAAGUAUCUCGGUAUGUAAACUUCUAUCAGCAGGGAAGAAAAUGACGGUACCUGACUAAGAAGCCCCGGCUAACUACGUGCAGCAGCCGCGGUAAUCUGAGCGGGCUGGCAAGGC